GCCCCGGUAGUAUAGUGGUUAGGACGCUUCUUAUAUCAUAUGAUUUAGGAGGAAACCCAAGUUCGAUUCUUGGUCGGGUCU